ACGAACGCUGGCGGCGUGCUUAACACAUGCAAGUCGAACGGUGAAGGGAUCAGCUUGCUGGUUCUGGAUGAGUGGCGAACGGGUGAGUAACACGUGAGUAACCUGCCCCCUUCUUCUGGAUAACCGCAUGAAAGUGUGGCUAAUACGGGAUAUUCUGCGCCUGCUGCAUGGUGGGUGUGGGAAAGAUAUUGUUUCGGUGGGGGAUGGGCUCGCGGCCUAUCAGCUUGUUGGUGGGGUGAUGGCCUACCAAGGCGGUGACGGGUAGCCGGCCUGAGAGGGUGGACGGUCACACUGGGACUGAGACACGGCCCAGACUCCUACGGGAGGCAGCAGUGGGGAAUAUUGCACAAUGGGCGCAAGCCUGAUGCAGCGACGCCGCGUGAGGGAUGGAGGCCUUCGGGGUGUGAACCUCUUUCGCCAGUGAAGCAGGCCUGUCCCUUGUGGGUGGGUUGACGGUAGCUGGAGAAGAAGCGCCGGCUAACUACGUG
rnacentral:rRNA from 1 species